CAGUCGCCACGGGAAUACGUAGGGUGCGAGCGUUAAUCGGAAUUACUGGGCGUAAAGUGUGCGCAGGCGGUUUUGUAAGACAGGCGUGAAAUCCCCGGGCUCAACCUGGGAAUGGCGCUUGUGACUGCAAAGCUAGAGUGCGGCAGAGGGGGAUGGAAUUCCGCGUGUAGCAGUGAAAUGCGUAGAUAUGCGGAGGAACACCGAUGGCGAAGGCAAUCCCCUGGGCCUGCACUGACGCUCAUGCACGAAAGCGUGGGGAGCAAACAGGAUUAGAUACCCCUGUAGUCCCUGUCUCUUAUAC
rnacentral:rRNA from 1 species